AUAGCCUCGAAUCUGAGCUCU
rnacentral:siRNA from 1 species